UGGAUCCAGAUUUGUUAUGGCUCAGGAUGAACGCUAGCUACAGGCUUAACACAUGCAAGUCGAGGGGCAGUAUGAUUGAAGCUUGCUUCAAUUGAUGGCGGCCGGCGCACGGGUGAGUAACACGUAUCCAACCUUCCGUACACUCAGGGAUAGCCUUUCGAAAGAAAGAUUAAUACCUGAUGGUAUCUUAAGCACACAUGUAAUUAAGAUUAAAGAUUUAUCGGUGUACGAUGGGGAUGCGUUCCAUUAGGUAGUAGGCGGGGUAACGGCCCACCUAGCCUACGAUGGAUAGGGGUUCUGAGAGGAAGGUCCCCCACAUUGGAACUGAGACACGGUCCAAACUCCUACGGGAGGCAGCAGUGAGGAAUAUUGGUCAAUGGACGAGAGUCUGAACCAGCCAAGUAGCGUGAAGGAUGAAGGUCCUACGGAUUGUAAACUUCUUUUAUAAGGGAAUAAAACCUCCCACGUGUGGGAGCUUGUAUGUACCUUAUGAAUAAGCAUCGGCUAACUCCGUGCCAGCAGCCGCGGUAAUACGGAGGAUGCGAGCGUUAUCCGGAUUUAUUGGGUUUAAAGGGAGCGCAGACGGGUCGUUAAGUCAGCUGUGAAAGUUUGGGGCUCAACCUUAAAAUUGCAGUUGAUACUGGCGUCCUUGAGUGCGGUUGAGGUGUGCGGAAUUCGUGGUGUAGCGGUGAAAUGCUUAGAUAUCACGAAGAACUCCGAUUGCGAAGGCAGCACACUAAGCCGUAACUGACGUUCAUGCUCGAAAGUGUGGGUAUCAAACAGGAUUAGAUACCCUGGUAGUCCACACGGUAAACGAUGGAUACUCGCUGUUGGCGAUAUACGGUCAGCGGCUUAGCGAAAGCGUUAAGUAUCCCACCUGGGGAGUACGCCGGCAACGGUGCAACUCAAAGGAAUUGACGGA
rnacentral:rRNA from 2 species